AUUGAACGCUGGCGGCAGGCUUAACACAUGCAAGUCGAGCGGGGAAAGGUAGCUUGCUACCUAACCUAGCGGCGGACGGGUGAGUAAUGCUUAGGAAUUUGCCUAUUAGUGGGGGACAACAUUCCGAAAGGAAUGCUAAUACCGCAUACGCCCUACGGGGGAAAGCAGGGGAUUUUUGGACCCUGCGCUAAUAGAUGAGCCUAAGUCAGAUUAGCUAGUUGGUGGGGUAAAGGCCUACCAAGGCGACGAUCUGUAGCGGGUUUGAGAGGAUGAUUCGCCCCCCUGGGACUGAGACCCGGCCCCGACUCCUACGGGAGGCAGCAGUGGGGAAUAUUGGACAAUGGGCGCAAGCCUGAUCCAGCCCUGCCGCGUGUGUGAAGAAGGCCUUUUGGUUGUAAAGCACUUUAAGCGAGGAGGAGGCUACUUGGAUUAAUACUUUAGGAUAGUGGACGUUACUCGCAGAAUAAGCCCCGGCUAACUUUGUG
rnacentral:rRNA from 1 species